rnacentral:lncRNA from 1 species
AUGAAGGUGAUAUGAAGAUGGAGUAGUGGUGACUUUCAACUUUGUCCUUUUGGGUUGCUAUAAUAAAAUACCAUAAGUUUGGUUGUUUAUAAACAAAAGAAAUUGAUUUCUUACAGUUCUGCAGACUGGGAAGUACAAGGUCAAGAUGCCAGCAGGCUUGGUCUCUGGUUCAAAGAUGGCACCUGUCUUGUUGCUUUGUGAUCAGUGCAAGCAGAAGGAAGGCUACUUCCUCACACUGGAGAAGAACAGAAGAGAGAAACCACUGCACAGGCCCUUCUCACAGUUCCAUGAAUCUAGUUAUGAGGUCAGAGCCCUGUGACCCACACACCUCUUUUAUGCCCCACCUCCCAAAUACCAUUACAUCCGGGACUAGAUUUCCAACACAUUCAGACUAUGACAAGGCAAAUCGAGUCUGGAAAACUAACUGUAAAAGUCCUCCAUUUUUAACCAAAGUAAAGAAAAGAAAUAUAGCUUUCUGUUAAAAUAUCAGGAUUCUGUAGCAUAAGAUCACCAUUUCUAAAAAGUAUUUCUUGCCUGGUAUACAUGUGUAUUCUGAGUAAUAGUGCCUUUAUUGAAGUUGGAACCAUGACUACCUGAUGAAUACAUAGCCUAUAUGUCCUGGAGGUGGCACAGAUGUUCCAUCUGGAACCAUGAUGUCAAUCAGAGUUUCCAUCAGCUUGAGUUUCUGGAUCAGAAAUGCAGAGAGGAAGGGAAGCAGGAAGGAAUAGAAGAGACACCAAACAGAUUCAUCAGGGGGUGCCAGAUGUUCCUACGGCUUAUUCCGUCCUACCUGGCUUCCCAGUUGUGGACCCAGAGCCUGAGAGUGAUCCCCAUGCCCACCACCAGACAUAUGUUGGUGAGCUCUGGGGACAGUGACCACACAGAGGUGUCAGCUUCCCUCGACUUCUAUGUGAGAUUCCCUUCUGUGUCCUACUGUCCCAUCUGGGCAGAUGUAGCAACUUAGUCUACUCGGCUGCUGUGACAAAAUACCAUAGACUGUAUCUAUUAAAAAACG